ACAUAACCAGCAACCACAGAGCCACCCCCUGCCACCCAACAACUCCCUCCUGAGCUAGAAACUUGUAAGACUCAGCUAGGAGUCUGAAUGGUUGGAUAUCUAAAGCAAAGAAUAAUCUAGUUUGUAACAUGGGACCAAAGGAAGAACUGAAUAUCCACAAUCUGUGUAAAAAGAGGCCACUUUGGAGAUUUCUAUGCCUCUCAGGGGCUCUAUCUCAGGAUGGCUCAGCUGUAAUUAUCUUUGGAUUCCCAUACAGAUCCAACUUCCCUGGAAAGAGAAAGUCUCAUGUUUGUUAAUAAUAUGAGGAAAGAAUUAAAAUAUAUCAGCUGCUAUGGGCUAAUGUCAUUUAUUUUGACUUUUCUUUUGUAGAAGAAAUGCUGAGGCAGUGUCACGCUGGUGUCUGUCCUCCUUACAGAAUGCCUGAACAGUUCCAUUGACUCAAAGUGAAGAUCAAAAGAACCAAAUGACAGCAAUAGCCAAGUGUAAUCAUCAGUAACCCUGUGUUCUAUCCACAGCUUUAAACUCCCUCCUAAGUUUCUGAAGAUCCUCUUGGGCCACUUCAUGGAUCUGAUUUAAAUCUAAAGUCCUAGGGGUUUCAAGGAGCACAGUUUGGAAUCUACCAUCCCGGGACAUUCAUUAUAUUAGUCUGUUUUCAUGCUGCUGAUAAAGACAUACCCAAGACUGGGCAAUUUACAAAAGAAAGAGAUUUAAUUGGACUUACA
rnacentral:lncRNA from 1 species